AUACGUAGGGGGCGAGCGUUGUCCGGAAUGAUUGGGCGUAAAGGGCGCGUAGGCGGCGCGGUAAGUCUGGAGUGAAAGUCCUGCUUUCAAGGUGGGAAUUGCUUUGGAUACUGCCGCGCUUGAGUGCAGGAGAGGUUAUCGGAAUUCCCGGUGUAGCGGUGAAAUGCGUAGAGAUCGGGAGGAACACCAGUGGCGAAGGCGGGUAACUGGACUGCAACUGACGCUGGGGCGCGAAAGUGUAGGGAGCAAACAGGAUUAGAUACCCUGGUAGUCCACACUGUAAACGAUGAAUGCUAGGUGUAAGAGGUAUCGACCCCUUUUGUGCCGGAGUCAACACAAUAAGCAUUCCGCCUGGGGAGUACGGCCGCAAGGUUGAAACUCAAAUGAAUUGACGGGG
rnacentral:rRNA from 1 species